GAUGAACGCUGGCGGCGUGCCUAAUACAUGCAAGUAGAACACUGAAGGAAGGAGCUUGCUCUUUCCGGAUGAGUUGCGAACGGGUGAGUAACGCGUAGGUAACCUGCCUGGUAGCGGGGGAUAACUAUUGGAAACGAUAGCUAAUACCGCAUAACAGUAGAUGUUGCAUGACAACUAUUUGAAAGGGGCAAUUGCUCCACUACCAGAUGGACCUGCGUUGUAUUAGCUAGUUGGUGAGGUAACGGCUCACCAAGGCGACGAUACAUAGCCGACCUGAGAGGGUGAUCGGCCACACUGGGACUGGGACACGGCCCAGACUCCUACGGGAGGCAGCAGUAGGGAAUCUUCGGCAAUGGACGGAAGUCUGACCGAGCAACGCCGCGUGAGUGAAGAAGGUUUUCGGAUCGUAAAGCUCUGUUGUAAGAGAAGAACGAGUGUGAGAGUGGAAAGUUCACACUGUGACGGUAUCUUACCAGAAAGGGACGGCUAACUACGUG
rnacentral:rRNA from 1 species